CGGGGCGUGGCGCAGUUUGGGAGCGCGUCUGAUUUGGGAUCAGAAGGUCGCAGGUUCAAAUCCUGUCGCCCCGACCA
rnacentral:tRNA from 3 species